UGGGGAAUAUUGGACAAUGGGCGCAAGCCUGAUCCAGCCAUGCCGCGUGAGUUAUGAAGGCCCUAGGGUUGUAAAGCUCUUUCACCGGUGAAGAUAAUGACGGUAACCGGAGAAGAAGCCCCGGCUAACUUCGUGCCAGCAGCCGCGGUAAUACGAAGGGGGCUAGCGUUGUUCGGAUUUACUGGGCGUAAAGCGCACGUAGGCGGACUUUUAAGUCAGGGGUGAAAUCCCGGGGCUCAACCCCGGAACUGCCUUUGAUACUGGAAGUCGUGAGUAUGGUAGAGGUGAGUGGAAUUCCGAGUGUAGAGGUGAAAUACGUAGAUAUUCGGAGGAACACCAGUGGCGAAGGCGCCUCACUGGACCAUUACUGACACUGAGGUGCGAAAGCGUGCGGAGCAAACAGG
rnacentral:rRNA from 1 species